AAGUCGUAACAAGGUAACCGUAGGUGAACCUGCGGUUGGAUCAUUAACAAAUUUAAAAGAUCGAUUGAAAUCUCAUUUUCAAUCGUUCUCAACAUUAUGUGAACUUUUUAUUGUAUCUUGGGUGAUUGUUGUUAAGGUUUUAUUUUUUAAGACUGGAAAACUUCACCAAAAUUAAACUCUUUAAAUAAUAUUAACAUGUCUUGAAUUUUUAAUUAUUAUUUUAAUUUUAAAACAACUUUUGACAACGGAUCUCUAGGCUCUC
rnacentral:misc_RNA from 1 species